GGUUGGGUCCUGAUGAUUGCGUGUCGCAUAAGUGUUGCUGUGACUGCUGUGCCGUUCCUUUUAUUUCUGAAUUAGUAUCCGAGCUUAUAUACGUGGCGUUGAGGCUGUUUCUGCUAUUGAGAAAAAUAAGCAGAGCUGGGAUGUUGGUUGUUGGUUUCGGGCCGAGACGAAAGGCUUUCCUGUGACGCGUUUGGUUUAUGUAUUCGACGAGCCAAGAGUUGGUUGCUGAUCUAGCUGUUUGGGCCGGGGGCCGUGUUGGAUUGGAUGGGCUUGAG